rnacentral:rRNA from 1 species
AGGAUAGAACGCUAGCGGCAGGCUUAAUACAUGCAAGUCGAGGGGCAGCAAGGGUAGCAAUACCUGUUGGCGACCGGCAAACGGGUGCGGAACACGUACAGAACCUUCCUUUAAGCGGGGGAUAGCCCAUAGAAAUGUGGAUUAAUACCCCAUAGUAAUAUUUGAUGGCAUCAUUAGAUAUUUAAAGAUUUAUCACUUAAAGAUGGCUGUGCGUAUGAUUAGGUAGUUGGCGGGGUAACGGCCCACCAAGCCUGCGAUCAUUAACUGGUGUGAGAGCACGACCAGUCACACGGGCACUGAGACACGGGCCCGACUCCUACGGGAGGCAGCAGUAAGGAAUAUUGGUCAAUGGACGCAAGUCUGACCAGCCAUGCCGCGUGAAGGAUGAAGGCCCUCUGGGUUGUAAACUUCUUUUUACAGGGGAAGAAAAAGGGUUUUAUAACUCACUUGACGGUACCCUGGGAAUAAGCACCGGCUAACUCUGUGCCAGCAGCCGC